rnacentral:rRNA from 1 species
CAGCCGCCGCGGUAAUACAUAGGGUGCGAGCGUUGUCCGGAAUUACUGGGCGUAAAGAGCUCGUAGGCGGUUUGUCACGUCGUCUGUGAAAUCCUAGGGCUUAACCCUGGACGUGCAGGCGAUACGGGCUGACUUGAGUACUACAGGGGAGACUGGAAUUUCUGGUGUAGCGGUGGAAUGCACAGAUAUCAGGAAGAACACCGAUGGCGAAGGCAGGUCUCUGGGUAGUAACUGACGCUGAGGAGCGAAAGCAUGGGUAGCGAACAGGAUUAGAGACCCCCGUAGUCCCUGUCUCUUAUAC